rnacentral:tRNA from 1 species
GCGCCUGGGUACUGACUCUUAAUCAGUAGGUUGAAGGUUCGAUUCCUUCGCGGCGCACCA